AGACGAAGCGUAAUUUGAAAAAAUCUCCACAAUUUGAAGAAGAGAGAAGAAGAAAGCUUCUUCGGGACUAUUCAUGGCGCAAAGGCGCGAAAUUAGGAUUUGGAUACUCCCGUCCCGCGGCUACUGAACUCAAUUGAGAUUCCAAGGUCGAUUCUUUUAAGGUACUCUAAAUCGUUUUUCCCUGAGGAUUUUGGCACUGCAGAGGGGAGAAAGGCCACGAGGUAGAAGAUAUCUUCAUUUGGAGUUAUCAAAGAUGUUUGUUUGUUCCACCUGCAACAAAAGAAAAGUUGGAUAUGCAAAUUUAGAUAUACUGCUCUUGGGAAUCAGGAGAUUCAGCCAGGGAUGUGGAACCUCCCAUAAACCCUUUGCUCUCAGUUUUCUCUCCGCAAUAUGCACUCGAUCCAGAAACUCAAUAUAUGGCACUUCAGAUGUAAACAAAGUGGAUGGAAUAUAAUUCAACUCUGAAAGUAACUUGCCAGUUUCCUGCAAGGUAACCAUUCGUUAUGUUAACGACCAACAUCUAGAGCUCUCUUUAGAAACUAAUAUUGCUUUCACAUCUUACCUUAUGCAUUGAGUUAGCUUCUUCUGUGUUGAAAUAUUUGACCACUUCUAGGCAAUAAAGAGUUUUCCCAUCUGACUUGAAUUUGCUAGCCUCUGUGGAAUCGUUAGGUCUGAAUGAUGAUCUCCAAUUAUUGAGGAGGUCUGUUCUAUUGAUUAUCACAAAUCCUUCAACGUAAUCAAAGGUUUUCUCCUUUGAAAUCAGAUGUUCUUGAUCCCUUGAAAAUACAGAGAAGUCAGAGUAGAGUACCCUGAUCCAUUUAACCUAGCAAAAUUCAUUUGACUGUAUCAGGAAACUCGUGCUUAGAAUCAGAAAGUAUAUUUUGACUAGUUACUUUUUCUAGCAGCCAUGCUUAAGAUAGAACUUUACCAUAUGCGGUGCUGGUUCAAGAGAUAUCCGUGCCCGGGUGAUUAUGCCAAACUGUCCAAGCCCGCCAAGAACACUGUAGAAAAGUUCAGAAUUCCGCUUCUCAGAACAGGUUAAUAAUUCACAUCCCGGGUACAUACAUUCUCUCCCUGCCAAGAUUUCCUACAUAAAAGGAUGGAUACAGAACUGUCCUAAACACGUGUUGCAACCAAGCUUCUUUUUUUCAUAUUGUUUAGAGAAAAAAAAUCUUGUUGCGUAUACAUGUUUUAGGACUCCCUGGGGCUGUUCAUGUGUAUCUUCGAUUGCAGUAAAUUGCUUUAAGAAACGAAAAAGGGAAUAGAAAAGAUUGUAUGCUAUAUAUACUUAUUGGUGGUCCUGAAAGACCAAGUAAGUAAGGCCUUGUCAUGAUAUUUUUUUCACGAGUAAUUAGAUCUUAGUUGGAGGUGAUAUGUGUUUUGCGCUCAAAAUUAUUAUAAUGAAAGGAAAAUUCAAAAAGAAAAAUCAAUGCCACUGUGUGCUACUUGCAAUAAAUAAACAUAGAAGAUUUGAUUUACGUAUAGUGUUAACUUGUGAGUAUGUGUUGUGUCUUCCAAUAACGUCAUGUUAUUUUUGUUUUGAGAUUAAAAGAUGUAGGGGCCUUGCCUACAUAGUCGGGAAAAAUGGAAGUAAAGGCAGAGAAGAUGCCAAUGAGGAGUGACAGUUUGAACAAAGGAGGCAUUGCGAAUAAAUUAAAAUCAAAGCUCACAAUACCUUGGUCGCUGUAGUGGACAAAUACACACAAGACACUUUUUCUAACCCUGGCAAGACACACUUUCUUCUAUAUUGUGACAUUAUUAACAGAGCAUUUUAGUCUAGUAGUGGCACAAACAAUUCCCUUCUCUUCAUGCUAUACUUAAAACCGAUCGAUAUCAUGAAAAAUCGAGUAUGAUGAAUGAUGUAUCUCUCUUCCUAUUUCUUGUUAUAGAGAAUAUCAAUGCAUCAUCAAAGAACACCAUGAAUUUUUGUAGACCCCAAGUGAAACCCUUUCCGUACAGCAACAUUAUUGACAUUUCUAUAGAUUUAGUGACACAAAGUUGUUGGUUUCUUCUUUGUAAAAGGUUAUUGUUCUGUGGGUGACUUCUUUUAAGUUGUUUAUUUCAAACUUGUCGAGUUUUUUGCAGGUCUCACUGUAGUGUCACUUUCCACUUAAAAGUUUCUUUCUUUCUUUUUUUCUCUCUUUUUAUUGCUAAUUUCACAGGUAAAUCGCCGUGAAGAUUGCAAUAAGAAGAUAGUUGGGCAUAUUGAGACUGUUUAGGUGGCAUCAUGAUGAGCACAAGUAUGAAUAAAUAAUAUUAAAUCACCACCAUUGCCGCAAAAAUAAGGUUACAAAUCCACAAACGUAUUAAUGUAAUCAUUACUCUAUAUAUGAUACAUGUAUCUAAAAUUUCCAUUCUUUUUCUUAAACCGGAUUUGAGGUCGAGAUACCUAAAUAAGCACCUAGGAUCCAUU